UACGUAGGGGGCAAGCGUUACUCGGAAUUACUGGGCGUAAAGGGUGAGUAGGCGGCUGGGUAAGUCAAGGAUGAAAUCCCGAGGCUCAACUUCGGAACCGUCCUUGAAACUGCUCAGCUUGAGGGUAGUUGAGGAGAGCGGAAUUCCCGGUGGAGCGGUGAAAUGCGUAGAUAUCGGGAGGAACACCUGAGGCGAAGGCGGCUCUCUAAGCUACUCCUGACGCUGAAUCACGAAAGCUAGGGGAGCAAACGGG
rnacentral:rRNA from 1 species